AGCGGCGGAUGGGUGAGUAACACGUGGGGAACCUGCCCCUAAGUCUGGGAUACCAUUUGGAAACAGGUGCUAAUACCGGAUAAUAAAGCAGAUCGCAUGAUCAGCUUUUGAAAGGCGGCGUAAGCUGUCGCUAAGGGAUGGCCCCGCGGUGCAUUAGCUAGUUGGUAAGGUAACGGCUUACCAAGGCGACGAUGCAUAGCCGAGUUGAGAGACUGAUCGGCCACAUUGGGACUGAGACACGGCCCAAACUCCUACGGGAGGCAGCAGUAGGGAAUCUUCCACAAUGGACGCAAGUCUGAUGGAGCAACGCCGCGUGGGUGAAGAAGGUUUUCGGAUCGUAAAGCUCUGUUGUUGGUGAAGAAGGAUAGAGGUAGUAACUGGCCUUUAUUUGACGGUAAUCAACCAGAAAGUCACGGCUAACUACGUGCCAGCAGCCGCGGCAAUACGUAGGUGGCAAGCGUUGUCCGGAUUUAUUGGGCGUAAAGCGAGCGCAGGCGGAAAAAUAAGUCUAAUGUGAAAGCCCUCGGCUUAACCGAGGAACUGCAUCGGAAACUGUUUUUCUUGAGUGCAGAAGAGGAGAGUGGAACUCCAUGUGUAGCGGUGGAAUGCGUAGAUAUAUGGAAGAACACCAGUGGCGAAAGGCGGCUCUCUGGUCUGCAACUGACGCUGAGGCUCGAAAGCAUGGGUAGCGAACAGGAUUAGAUACCCUGGGUAGUCCAUGCCGUAAACGAUGAGUGCUAAGUGU
rnacentral:rRNA from 1 species